rnacentral:rRNA from 1 species
GACGAACGCUGGCGGCGUGCCUAAUACAUGCAAGUUGAGCGCUGAAGGUUGGUACUUGUACCAACUGGAUGAGCAGCGAACGGGUGAGUAACGCGUGGGGAAUCUGCCUUUGAGCGGGGGACAACAUUUGGAAACGAAUGCUAAUACCGCAUAAAAACUUUAAACACAAGUUUUAAGUUUGAAAGAUGCAAUUGCAUCACUCAAAGAUGAUCCCGCGUUGUAUUAGCUAGUUGGUGAGGUAAAGGCUCACCAAGGCGAUGAUACAUAGCCGACCUGAGAGGGUGAUCGGCCACAGUGGGACUGAGACACGGCCCAAACUCCUACGGGAGGCAGCAGUAGGGAAUCUUCGGCAAUGGACGAAAGUCUGACCGAGCAACGCCGCGUGAGUGAAGAAGGUUUUCGGAUCGUAAAACUCUGUUGGUAGAGAAGAACGUUGGUGAGAGUGGAAAGCUCACCAAGUGACGGUAACUACCCAGAAAGGGACGGCUAACUACGUG